GACUGUAACUUGGUGACAGUGCUCAUAACCAAGGCUUCUCUUGAGAGUGAAAGACCCCCGAAGGGAGACCCCUCACUCAAGCCUCGGGAAAGGCGCGCACCCAGUAGGCACCAAGACCA
rnacentral:pre_miRNA from 11 species